GUAUAUAUUAGAAAAAAUAAGGCAAUGAACGAUACAAUGAUAAAACUAAUUUUUGAUAAGCCCAAAGAAUCACAGUAAAUUGCAAUAAUAUACAAUUAACGCUUGAUUACGAAUUUUCCGUCUCAGGACCAGAUUCAUGCUGAAUGUUUUCAAUUUGACUCAACAGCUGAACCAUUGUUAAGCCUUCCGGACCAUACAAAUAUCGCUUGCUAUACAAGUAGCUGCUUAUCGACAAUGGACGGAAUUGUAAAUAUCUUUGCAAUUCAUGGAGGAGUAUAGAGGACUCUUCAUGGCCUAUAAAUUCCGCUAAUUCAUCAAUGGUUUGUGGAUGUUGAAUAUUCUGAACUCGUAAGAGACCCAUCAAAAAGAUUUGUAUAAAGUUAAUUUGAUGUCCAUCUAAAUAUUCAAACAAGAGAAGUUCUUUAGCAAUAAAGCUUUCCACUUUCUUUAAUAAAGAUGCGCUAGAAGCUAGUUGGAUAGGAGUGGGUAUUUGAUAUUGCCUAUGUGAUGAAAGCGAGGGAUUUUCAUAGCUUUUCCAUGCCUUUUGAUAGAUGAAACGUCGUACGCGUAGCAAAUCGGCCAAUCUGUCAGUGUUUUCGCUGGAGGAAAAUGAAGGCUGCCGUAGUAAUUGUCGUGAAAUCGAAUACUGAUUUGACCCCAAAGAUUGAGUAUACCACUUCUUAUACAAACUUGACCCAUGAAAUCCAUAAAACACACAAUCUACGUGUCUCUUACAGAUGGGACAUGUCAAGGAUUGAUCCAUCCAGCGACAUAUGCAAGAAUAAUCGAACUGGUCAUGCCCACAUGGAGAUAGCUGUGCCCGAAGACCAUCUUUUUGUAAACAUAUAACGCAAUCU